rnacentral:rRNA from 1 species
CAAUAGCGUAUAUUUAAGUUGCUGCAGUUAAAAAGCUCGUAGUUGGAUUUCGGGUGGGAAUGGCCGGUCCGCCGUUUCGGUGUGCACUUGCUACGCCCACCUUGCUGCCGGGGACGUGCUCUUGAGUUCACGCUCGGGACACGGAGUCGGCGAGGUUACUUUGAGUAAAUUAGAGUGUUCAAAGCAGGCCUACGCUCUGAAUACAUUAGCAUGGAAUAACACGAUAGGACUCUGGCCUAUCUUGUUGGUCUGUAGGACCGCAGUAAUGAUUAAGAGGGACAGUCGGGGGCAUUCGUAUUUCAUUGUCAGAGGUGAAAUUCUUGGAUUUAUGAAAGACGAACUACUGCGAAAGCAUUUGCCAAGGAUGUUUUCAUUAA